rnacentral:rRNA from 1 species
CCUACGGGAGGCAGCAGUAGGGAAUCUUCGGCAAUGGACGGAAGUCUGACCGAGCAACGCCGCGUGAGUGAAGAAGGUUUUCGGAUCGUAAAGCUCUGUUGUAAGAGAAGAACGAGUGUGAGAGUGGAAAGUUCACACUGUGACGGUAUCUUACCAGAAAGGGAUGGCUAACUACGUGCCAGCAGCCGCGGUAAUACGUAGGUCCCGAGCGUUGUCCGGAUUUAUUGGGCGUAAAGCGAGCGCAGGCGGUUAGAUAAGUCUGAAGUUAAAGGCUGUGGCUUAACCAUAGUACGCUUUGGAAACUGUUUAACUUGAGUGCAAGAGGGGAGAGUGGAAUUCCAUGUGUAGCGGUGAAAUGCGUAGAUAUAUGGAGGAACACCGGUGGCGAAAGCGGCUCUCUGGCUUGUAACUGACGCUGAGGCUCGAAAGCGUGGGGAGCAAACAGGAUUAGAUACCCUGGUAGUC